rnacentral:rRNA from 1 species
GACGAACGCUGGCGGCGUGCUUAACACAUGCAAGUCGAACGGAAAGGCCCUGCUUUUGUGGGGUGCUCGAGUGGCGAACGGGUGAGUAACACGUGAGUAACCUGCCCUUGACUUUGGGAUAACUUCAGGAAACUGGGGCUAAUACCGGAUAGGAGCUCCCGCUGCAUGGUGGGGGUUGGAAAGUUUCGGCGGUUGGGGAUGGACUCGCGGCUUAUCAGCUUGUUGGUGGGGUAGUGGCUUACCAAGGCUUUGACGGGUAGCCGGCCUGAGAGGGUGACCGGCGACAAUGGGACUGAGAUACGGCCCAGACUCCAACGGGAGGCAGCAGUGGGGAAUAUUGCACAAUGGGCGGGAGCCUGAUGCAGCAACGCCGCGUGCGGGAUGACGGCCUGCGGGUUGUAAACCGCUUUCGCCUGUGACGAAGCGUGAGUGACGGUAAUGGGUAAAGAAGCACCGGCUAACUACGUG